GCUGAUAGCAGCUUGGCUCCUGCUUCAAGCACCUGAUGUGCUAUGGCCUUUGGCAGAGGGCUCGGAGCAUGACGCGUCUGUGUCCUGCCCUGCUGUGGAGCCUCCUCUCUUCCUCUCAGAACAGGAGGAAGGGAAAGGAAGGGAGAGAGGUGGGCUUUAGACGAGAGCAUCAGCUGGCUCCAGCCCGAAGAGACAAGAAUUCUCUUCGCAGGAAGCUCCUCUCCCUCGUGGCAGCCCACCCCCCAGCCCGGUAAGUCCAGAGCCCUCCGCUCUUUCCCUUACUAGCUAGCGUGAUUUCAGCACCAAGGAGAGCGAUGAGCUGUAUUUUGGUUCCUGUAUGUCUGUGUGUUCCUGCAAGGCAUUUGGCACCGAGGUUACAUUUAUCUCUCUGCUGCCAGGAGAGCUGGCUUCUGCGUAGCAAAAGAAAGGUGCAAAACUAUGUCUACUGAAUUAAAGAGGGAUGUGGACCCUGGCCUUUCGGUGUGAGUGAGUGUAUAUGCGUGUGUACUGUUGCGUAAGACAGGUAAGGGCAGAGCUAAAUUGCUGGUGGUUUCUGUGUGCCUCAGUGUGAGGCUGUUCUUUUCGUAUGUAGAUAAGGAGC
rnacentral:lncRNA from 1 species